AGGGCACUUCUGGUGCUGGGGGUUUAGGGGAUGGGACUCCAAAGAGUGAGAGAUCAGCAGAUAUGUUCUGUGAUGAUAUUUUUGGAGAAAGACCUGCUGGAGUUCGUAAAACUG